rnacentral:rRNA from 1 species
GGAACGCGAAGAACCUUACCUGGGCUUGACAUGGUAGUCGUAGACUUGUGAAAGCUUGUCGUCACUUCGGGUGGACUAUCACAGGUGCUGCAUGGCUGUCGUCAGCUCGUGUCGUGAGAUGUUGGGUUAAGUCCCGUAACGAGCGCAACCCCUAUGAACUGUUGCCAGCGGGUAAUGCCGGGGACUCUGUUCAGACUGCCCAGAUUAACUGGGAGGAAGGAGGGGAUGACGUCAAGUCAGUAUGGCCCUUACGCCCAGGGCUGCACACGUGCUACAAUGUCCAGUACAAUGUGAACCAAUACCGUGAGGUGGAGGAAAUCGUCAAAACUGGGCUCAGUUCGGAUUGUAGGCUGCAACUCGCCUACAUGAAGUUGGAAUCGCUAGUAAU